rnacentral:sRNA from 1 species
UAAUUAGAAUUAAAAACAGAAGAGGCCCC